UACGGGGGGAGCAAGCGUUGUUCGGAUUUACUGGGCGUAAAGGGCGCGUAGGCGGCCACUGCAAGUCGGUUGUGAAAUCUCCGGGCUUAACCCGGAAAGGUCAAUCGAUACUGCAGGGCUGGAGUGCAGAAGGGGCAACUGGAAUUCUCGGUGUAGCGGUGAAAUGCGUAGAUAUCGAGAGGAACACCUGCGGCGAAGGCGGGUUGCUGGGCUGACACUGACGCUGAAGCGCGAAAGCUAGGGGAGCGAACGGG
rnacentral:rRNA from 1 species